rnacentral:rRNA from 1 species
AACGAACGCUGGCGGCAGGCCUAACACAUGCAAGUCGAGCGCCCCGCAAGGGGAGCGGCGGACGGGUGAGUAACGCGUGGGAAUAUGCCCUUUGCUACGGAAUAGUCUCGGGAAACUGGGGGUAAUACCGUAUACGCCCUUUGGGGGAAAGAUUUAUCGGCGAAGGAUUAGCCCGCGUUGGAUUAGGUAGUUGGUGGGGUAAUGGCCUACCAAGCCGACGAUCCAUAGCUGUUUGAGAGGAUGAUCAGCCACACUGGGACUGAGACACGGCCCAGACUCCUACGGGAGGCAGCAGUGGGGAAUCUUAGACAAUGGGGGCAACCCUGAUCUAGCCAUGCCGCGUGAGUGAUGAAGGCCUUAGGGUUGUAAAGCUCUUUCAGCUGGGAAGAUAAUGACGGCACCAGCAGAAGAAGCCCCGGCUAACUCCGU